AAAAGAAGUGCUGGGGACUCACGAUGCACCAGACCCUGUCCUAGAUUCUCAAGAAGACAAGGACACUCCCUGCUUCCUGGAGCUUCCACUGUAACAACGCGAUAGGUAGCAAACACCCAGAGAGCUUAAGCUGAUGCUGAGACCAAACCAGGGUAAUUUUCAGAUGGAAUGGCAAAGAAGGCUUCCCUCAGAAGAUAAUAUCUGAACCGAUCCCUGUACCAAGAGGAAGAGCCGGUCAUGCAAAGCCUGGCUCAGUAGUUCAGAGAACGGGACCCUGCCAUCUCCGGGGACUGACUCCAGAAAACCGAGCUGGUGAGAAGAGCCAGCCCCAUUGUCUGAUGGCAUCCCCUGUCUGCCGAAGUGAACUAAUGAAUGGGAGAAACUGGUAAACCGUGAGGUGUCGUUCAGAUGCAUCAAGCAGUAAUAAGAAAAUGCUCCGAUGUCUGCAUUCAUUCCUAAUGUCUCUCCGAGGCUCAGAAUCUGGAAGGACAAGGAAAGGAGUGCCUGCUGAAGCUGACAGAAGAGGAAACAGGUUAAACAAGUGCUCCCAAGUCACACAGCCGUCAGGAGAUGGAGGUGGACAUCUCGGGUCAUCUUCUGCGCGACAGACAGCUCUGCUGUCUUCUAAGCUUCAGAGACCUUCACUUAGCAGCUCUGGUAGCUGGGAACGAAAAGGAAUCCAAGGUACAUCUGCUUCUUAAUGUGGUCCUGGUGCAAUGUAUACUUCUGUUCACACUCUGUUGAUAAGAACUAGUCUUAUGGUCCUGUUUACAUUGGUGACUGGUAGUUAGUUGGGUCAUGCUGUGGAAGAAGAGCUCCAGUCUUUGGUGAUCAAACAUCUCACUUUGCCUUGAUUUUGUCCGCUUGACAAAGACUUACCCACUUUCCGAUCUCAGUUUCAUUCUUUGCUCCUCUGCAAAGACUCCUCUGGCCUGUAUGGGCAGAUCUGAACCCCUCCACCUUUUUUUUUCACAUUGUAUCAUGUGGUUUGCAGGCUGGUACUCUACUGGCCAUGUUCUUGGGAGCAACAAUCUUGCCCCUUAAGUUAUAUUUUCUGAGAAUUUAGCAUAAUGCCUGGGAAGUAGUCAGUUCGUUAUGAAACCAAGCAAAUGAAUGAAUAUUAUGGGUGAAUGAAAGAAUCUGGUUUCUACAGAGAAAUAGAGACCCAGUUAGAGGGAAGAAAUGAUAAUUGAAGCAAAACAUUAUAAUUCCUAGUUCACAUUAUUAUUCAUUUGGAAUCUAUUUCAUGAGCUCCAUGAGAGUGGGACACUGCGUCAUUCUUUGCUCUGACGCUGAUACCUGACAUGCUGCCUGGUACACAGAACGUAUUCAACAACUGUUUAAAUGAGUACACAUGCAAAGAAAUGGAGCAAUACAUACAAGGUAGCAUUCUGAGCCCCAGGAGUUCCGCAGGAGGUGCUGGGCUUGGACGAUGCAGGGAAGGACUGGAUGGGCCAAUGAUUAGUUACAGCUGUCCCCAGAACAGCAGACAGCACGGCAAGGCUCCGCCCAGCCCUGGCCAGCCGUGUUGUUCCUUGUAGAAGAUGAGUGACCACCACGAGGAGGGGCUAACAUCUCAAUGGGGAUGCUGGCUUGUGCGUACAUGAGAACAAACUCAGGCUUCUGAAAUGAUUGACCUAUGACAUAGCCCUUAGAGACUGCAUAACGAGAAAAACAGGAAGAAAAAGUGCAGGCAGCAAUCGAGUCAUGACAACUGUGACCAUUUUUACUGAUUGAAAGGAGACAGGAACAAUUAAGAACAACUUUGAAGAGACGUGGUAGAUGGAAAGUUUGUAUCUUCUCAAAAUUUGUACAUUGAAAUUUGAUCCCCAAGAUGAUGACAGGAAGAGAUAAGAUCGUUGUGAAAUAAUUAGGUCAAAGAGGCAGUGCCCUCAUGAAUGAUGUCAUUAUAAAAGAAAUCCCAAAUAGAAGUCUCACCCCUUUCCCCGUGCAGGAACACACUAGGAAGUGCUGUCCAUGCAGCCAGGAAGGGCACCUUCCCAGCCCUGAGUCUCCAGGUGCCUUAUUUUGGACCUCCUAACCUCCAGAAUCAGAAAAAAAAAUUUUUACUGUUUAUAAGCCACUCAACCGACUGAAUUUUUAAAAUAGGAGGCCAAGUGGACCAAGACAGGUAUGAAAGGUGUUCUUUAAAUGUUUGUAUCACAUUUAUUCUCUCCAUAGGUCCCAUUUUACCAAAGGUUGGCUUAGAUGAGCCACAUGUCUUCAGAUAGGUUAGUUGUCAAGAUUCUGAUGAAAAGGGUAAGGACAUG